UACGAAGGGGGCUAGCGUUGCUCGGAUUGACUGGGCGUAAAGGGCGCGUAGGCGGUUCGUACAGUCAGACGUGAAAUUCCUGGGCUCAACCUGGGGGCUGCGUUUGAUACGUGCGGACUUGAGUGCGGAAGAGGGUCGUGGAAUUCCCAGUGUAGAGGUGAAAUUCGUAGAUAUCUGGAGGAACACCGGUGGCGAAGGCGGCGUUCUGGACUGCAACUGACACUGAGAAACGAAAGCCAGGGUAGCAAACGGG
rnacentral:rRNA from 1 species